AAGUCACAUUUGACUGACCGCAAGCAUGGCUUUCUGCAGGGCCCAUAAUCCUUGGGCAAAAGGCUGGCAAACAGGCCCCUCCAAAACCCAGUGGCGAAGUAAUUUUUAGCAAGGAGAUAGAAGACUUGUAGGGCUCUUGUACAGUUUUGUGGUGUUUUAUUAUGUUUUUAUAAUAUUCUGUAUGUUUCCUGUACUUGAGGGAUAAUUUAAUUAUUGUUCUUUGGUCUCAACUAUAUCUCAGAUACAGGAUCUAUGGGUAGGAGUUUUUCUGUGUGGACCUAAUUGUAAACCUUGUAACUUGUAAUGUAGACUCUCUGCUGGGGUCUGUACAUAAAAGGCCAUGCUUGACCCAAUAAAAUUCAGUUGUCUCACAGCAUUAAGUAUUGGCUAAUGUCUGUGGGAAAGCACUAUACUACUCACGACACUUUUGGAAACAUCGCUGACAGAGAUCCAGAGAUGGGGAAAGGACAGCUUUGGCGGCGAAACUCGUGUCCCUAUCCGAGUGACCGCCACACUCAUCUUUUAUCAAUAGGAGUAAUUUAU